rnacentral:tRNA from 1 species
GGGAGUAUAGUUCUGUGGUACAACACUUGCCAAGUAUGCAUGAGGCCCUGGGUUCAAUCCCCAGUACUGCAA